AAGUCGUAACAAGGUCUCCGUUGGUGAACCAGCGGAGGGAUCAUUACAGAGUUGCAAAACUCCAAACCCUUGUGAACGUUAUUCUGUUGCUUCGGCAGGCGGGGCCCAGGGGGGUUUCCACUAUAACGCCUGCCGAAAGACCAAAACUCAGCUGCCUAUGCCUUCUGAAGAAAAGACAAAUAGUUAAAACUUUCAACAACGGAUCUCUUGGUUCUG
rnacentral:misc_RNA from 1 species